AGUCACUUCCGGUAUUUCAGACAAUCCCUUUCCGUCAAGAGCCACUUGUUAAUUUGUUGCGGACUUGUUAUUUUGUUGUCAAUUUUUUUAUUUGCCUUUUUUUAUGUAGAAGUGUUUUCUAAAAUGUUAUUUUGUUGUCUAUGUUGUAAAUGUGCUUUGCACUUCCCAGCCACCGUACUUAUAUCUUCUUUUGUGAUAAAUAAUCCAAGUGUAAUCUACAAACGGGUGAGUUUGCCUAUGGCAACACAAAUAAAAUGACAAUAAUAUCAAUAAAAGUUACUCUCGCACUUCAACAAAACAGCAUGUCUCCUGUCCGUCUGUGUACAUCAACAAGCAAUUGCUGUCGGCUGCAUAGCUCCGUGCUGUAGGACGGUGAGCUCGGAGCUGUAGGACGGUAAGCUCGGAGCUGUAGGACGGUGAGCGCCGUGCUGUAGGACGGUGAGCUCGGAGCUGUAGGACGGUAAGCGCCGUGCUGUAGGACGGUGAGCUCGGUGCUGUAGGACGGUGAGCUCGGAGCUGUAGGACGGUGAGCUCGGUGCUGUAGGACGGUCAGCUCGGUGCUGUAGGACGGUAAGCGCCGUCCUGUGGGACGGUCAGCUCGGUGCUGUAGGACAGAUAGCUUUACUGUAACCCGGGUUAAAAAGAAGAAUGAAUAGUAAAAGAUAAGUAAAGUCUAAGAAUAUAAAUACCAAAGAGUUAAAUUCAUUUGUUCAACUUUCUUGUACAUUAAAAAGAUAAAAGUUCAUGUAAAAUGAUUAAAAACGUGUUUGCAUUGUUUAAAAUAAGUUAUCUUUCUUUUCUUGUGAAUUUCUUGUGAAAAGUGUAAUUUCCUACGGGGAUAUGGUCUGUGAAGGUAACACAGGGUGGAGAAGGAAAAAGGAAAAAGAGAGCGCGAGGAGAGAGGGUGGUGCGUGAGUUACACGGAGUAUGCGGAGAAGUUAGCUUGUUUUUAUGUACUAGUAAGUGUGUUUUGACUUUUCGGAAAGAUAAGACACAGUGUCGGUAAGCUAGUGACAUAACACGUAAAGUUUCAGCGUGAGUCUGCUGGACUGUGUGUUUUGUUUCCUGCGGCCGUGCACGCAUUGAGUAAAAGUGAGGCUAACCCAGCCGUUCGCUAAUAAAGACUACUCUGCCGUUUUGCUAAAGUUGUGGAACGUAAAAAAGCUGCAGAGGAUCGUUACCGAACUGGAUA